rnacentral:rRNA from 1 species
CAUUACNCAAAUAUGANNCCGGACUGGGAUAGGGCCUCGCUGCCUUGCCCGUCUGGCGCCAUAUUCACCCAUGUCUUUUUGCGUACUACUUGUUUCCUUGGCGGGUCCGCCCGCCAAUUGGACCUUAUUCAAACCUUUUUUUCAGUUGCAAUCAGCGUCAGCAAAACAAAUGUAAUCAAUUACAACUUUCAACAACGGAUCUCUUGGUUCUGGCAUCGAUGAAGAACGCAGCGAAAUGCGAUAAGUAGUGUGAAUUGCAGAAUUCAGUGAAUCAUCGAAUCUUUGAACGCACAUUGCGCCCUUUGGUAUUCCAAAGGGCAUGCCUGUUCGAGCGUCAUUUGUACCCUCAAGCUUUGCUUGGUGUUGGGCGUCUUGUCUCUCUCCCGAGACUCGCCUUAAAAUCAUUGGCAGCCGGCCUACUGGUUUCGGAGCGCAGCACAUUAUUUGCGCUCUUGUCCAGCCGCGGUCGCGCGUCCAUGAAGCUUCUUUCAACCUUUUGACCUCGGAUCAGGUAGGGAUAC